rnacentral:rRNA from 1 species
ACGCUGGCGGCGUGCCUAAUACAUGCAAGUAGAACGCUGAAGAGAGGAGCUUGCUCUUCUUGGAAGAGUUGCGAACGGGUGGGUAACGCGUAGGUAACCUGCCUUGUAGCGGGGGAUAACUAUUGGAAACGAUAGCUAAUACCGCAUAACAAUGGGUGACCCAUGUCAUUCAUUUGAAAGGGGCAACUGCUCCACUACAAGAUGGACCUGCGUCGUAUUAGCUAGUAGGUGAGGUAACGGCUCACCUAGGCGACGAUACAUAGCCGACCUGAGAGGGUGAUCGGCCACACUGGGACUGAGACACGGCCCAGACUCCUACGGGAGGCAGCAGUAGGGAAUCUUCGGCAAUGGGGGCAACCCUGACCGAGCAACGCCGCGUGAGUGAAGAAGGUUUUCGGAUCGUAAAGCUCUGUUGUAAGUCAAGAACGAGUGUGAGAGUGGAAAGUUCACACUGUGACGGUAGCUUACCAGAAAGGGACGGCUAACUACGUGCCAGCAGCCGCGGUAAUACGUAGGUCCCGAGCGUUGUCCGGAUUUAUUGGGCGUAAAGCGAGCGCAGGCGGUUUGAUAAGUCUGAAGUUAAAGGCUGUGGCUCAACCAUAGUUCGCUUUGGAAACUGUCAAACUUGAGUGCAGAAGGGGAGAGUGGAAUUCCAUGUGUAGCGGUGAAAUGCGUAGAUAUAUGGAGGAACACCGGUGGCGAAAGCGGCUCUCUGGUCUGUAACUGACGCUGAGGCUCGAAAGCGUGGGGAGCGAACAGGAUUAGAUACCCUGGUAGUCCACGCCGUAAACGAUGAGUGCUAGGUGUUGGGUCCUUUCCGGGAUUCAGUGCCGCAGCUAACGCAUUAAGCACUCCGCCUGGGGAGUACGACCGCAAGGUUGAAACUCAAAGGAAUUGACGGGGGCCCGC